CAGCUAGAAUACAGUGAACUCGCCCAUUCCGAACCAGUCAAAAAUGAGGAUCAUUUCCAAGCUUUUUAGGUCGCGAGCGUGCAGACGGCCACAAAAAUCAUGGAUAAACCUAGAAAAAAUGCCAACGUCCAGCUGAGGUGUCUGCCAGAAAUGUUAGAAAAUUAAAAAAAAUUACUUUAACUUCACACCAGCAAAGAAAGCCAAGGACGCUAAGAUUACCAAAAUCUCAAGGGAGAGUGACAUUCUAGGUCUACCACAUGGUCACAGACUGCUCAUAUGACUGCAAUGAUACAAUAUAUUUCAUUUAUGCCAGAGGGGACGCCAUGGUUGUUGUUCAGAUUUUAUAGUACUUAUGAUUUUACAAGUCAUGGACAUAUGCUUAAUAUAUAAAUACAUAUUAUAUA